UCAUCUUGUUUCUAUGAUCGAAUCCCCCACCGGCGACAAUGGCGAAGGCCCCAAGGACGGGAGGAGCAACGCUUCCCACCCGCGGCCUCCCGGAGGAGAUCAUCUUCUGGGAAAUCCUCACCCGCCUUCCCCCAAGAUCCCUACUCCGCUGCCGCGCCGUCUGCCGCGACUGGCGCCGCGGCACCUCCAGCCGGGAUUUCCUCCUCGUCCACCACGGCCGGCAGCCCAGACUCCCCGUCGUCUGCAGCUCCGGAUACGGCGACGACCGCCACCAAUACUUCUUCGCCUUCGAUCACCGAGCUGCCGACGCCCGGCUCCAACCCGUUGCCCAUCUUGAAGAUUCUUCCUGUCUGGAGGCCUGCUGCGACGGCCUCCUCAUCCUCUCCAACCACGGCGCGACAGGCACCUGCUACUCCGUCUCUAAUAUGGCCACGCGUCAGCAUGCUCCCCUCCUGCAACUGUCGGACUUCGAUUUAUUGGGCAUGUACCUGCACCGCGCUACCGACGAGUACCGGCUGUUACUGCAACGGACUCUCACCGAUCCGCUACAUGAAGGUCAAGUUGGCUGCUACAUCUUCGCAUUGGGCUCCGACCAGCCGCCGAGGUACAUCGGGGGGCCAGUGGCUGCUGAAUCAACCUACUUGCACACACCUGCCUUGGUCCGUGAUAGCCUGCAUUGGUUCCCAGUGCAUCGUCAGAGUGACCCACAGCAAUAUCACGCUGGAAGCGAAGUGGUAAUAGUAUUUGACACCACAUCCGAGUCGUUCCGGGAGAUGCGUGCUCCAGAUGUUCCUGGAAGGUCAUGUAUCUUUGAGAUGGAUGCCACGCUUGGCAUCUAUAGCUUGGACAAGGCCAUGAAAACUGUUUACAUAUGGGUGUUGCAGAACUACGAAAGCGAGGUCUGGGAGCGGGAGUACAUCAUCAAAUUGCCGGCCGCAGAAAUCGAGAGGCGGUUUCGAUGGUUGGAUCACAAUUGGACUGCCAGCGUUGUGUCGGUGGAAGGUGAAGUCCUCUUGCUGGUCAGUCAUGGCGAGUGGCUUUUUUAUAUCAACAUUGAUGGCAAACUGGUUGACAACUUCCAUCGUGAUGGCCAGCACAUCUAUGCUUGGGACCUUCGGCUCAAGCAAACUCUUGUUCGACAUAAUUUCUUCGUGGCACUUGAAGGUUAUGCUGUGAAUGCUUUGCCUUUUGUCUGACGGUUGCUAAUGAGGUGGUUAUUCUCAAUGACCUAGCUGUAUCAUGGAUCAAGUAGUUGCUCAGCUGCUCGAACUUUGGCUGCCUGGUGUCAGCUGGGUGUUACUGAC